UACGUAGGGGGCAAGCGUUGUCCGGAAUCAUUGGGCGUAAAGCGCGUGUAGGCGGCUCGGUAAGUCUGCUGUGAAAGUCCAGGGCUCAACCCUGGGAUGCCGGUGGAUACUGUCGAGCUCGAGUCCGGAAGAGGCGAGUGGAACUCCUGGUGUAGCGGUGGAAUGCGCAGAUAUCAGGAAGAACACCAACGGCGAAGGCAGCUCGCUGGGACGGUACUGACGCUGAGACGCGAAAGCGUGGGGAGCGAACAGG
rnacentral:rRNA from 1 species